rnacentral:misc_RNA from 1 species
AGUAAAACAGUACGUGAAAUUGUUGAAAGGGAAACGCUUGAAGUCAGUCGUGCCGGCGUUGGAUUCAGCUUGCUUCGCGGAGCAGGCGUAUUUCCGCGCAUGGCAGGUCAGCGUCAGUUUUGCGCGGCGUGAAAAGGCUCGGGUAAGGUAGCUCUCUUCGGGGAGUGUUAUAGACCUGGGCAGAUGCGCUGCGCGGGACUGAGGAUUGCAGCGGACACCCCCUCGGGGGCGCGGCGACCGAACCCUGCUCGGCCACCCUCGUUCGAUAGCGUGCUAGCGGACGCGGGAGCGGCAGUGCACCGGAACAGGCAAGCCAGCGGUUCGCUAAGGAUGCUGACGUAAUGGCUUUAAA